rnacentral:rRNA from 1 species
UACGGAGGGUGCGAGCGUUGUCCGGAAUCACUGGGCGUAAAGGGCGCGUAGGUGGCGGCCCAAGUCAACGGUGAAAGCUCGGCGCUCAACGCCGAGUCGGCCGUCGAUACUGGGUUGCUUGAGCACUGUAGGGGCCAAUGGAAUUCCGGGUGUAGCGGUGGAAUGCGUAGAGAUCCGGAAGAACACCGGUGGCGAAGGCGGUUGGCUGGGCAGGUGCCGACACUGAGGCGCGACAGCGUGGGGAGCAAACAGG